rnacentral:lncRNA from 1 species
ACGGGCUCGACGCGAGGAUCGACUUUCCUCAAAGUGGGCCGAGCAUCCGAGCUCGGGAAGGCGGCCAAAACGGGCCACGAAGGUGCUACCAUACCCAUUUCUGCACUCUCUGUGCGCUGCUGGUUGGGGGCGAAGGAGGGCGGAUCCAGAGCUGGGUUGGGUCGGAAAUGGAUGGAGGGGCUGAACAAGACCUAGGCAAGACUUCACGGUGGCCGGAGGUGGUCGGAGGGAGCUACGGUGGGUCUCUACCGUCCCUCAUGACCACCGAACAGCAACUAGCCAGGCGGUUCGUGGACGGCAGCUCGACUGGACGGGGUGGUCGGCGCGGUUG